rnacentral:rRNA from 1 species
UACGGAGGGCGCAAGCGUUGUUCGGAAUCACUGGGCGUAAAGCGCGUGUAGGCGGCUUUGCAAGUCGGGUGUGAAAUCCCGAGGCUCAACCUCGGAACUGCACUCGAUACUGCUUGGCUCGAGUCCCGGAGAGGGUGGCGGAAUUCACGGUGUAGGGGUGAAAUCCGUAGAUAUCGGGAGGAACACCAGUGGCGAAGGCGGUCACCUGGACGGUGACUGACGCUGAGACGCGAAAGCGUGGGGAGCAAACAGG